rnacentral:rRNA from 1 species
CGAGGGGUUUGGGGCGGGCGUGAGAAGUCCACUUUUCUGCCUUUGCGGGUGGCGAGGUGGGACUAAGCUUGGGUAGGUACCGACCGCCGCCGCCGCGCAGCGGCCGCGCCCUCCCGCCGGCCCUCCUCACCGACGCGCAGAUGCUGGCCUACCACCGGCAGGACGCGUUCUCGGUGGCCCUGCACCUCCGCGACGAGCGGCUGGCGUGCGCGGAGCUCCGGCAGGAGUUCUAGGUCGUGCUGAAGACCGAGGUGGCGCUGCGGCAGGAGGCCCUGGCGGAGCUGCUCUGCGCCUCCCACCUCCUGACGGACGCCGCCCCGCUGCGGCGGUUCGAGCUGGACGAGGAGCCGCUGUUCCUGGACCUCCACGCGGCGGUGGCCUAGAUGUAGCUUGUGGUUCUACCGCUGAACCUCCUAAAGUUUUCCCUACGUCGACGAAACCGACUUCUUUUGUUACGCGACUUCUAUUUUGACUUCCUUCGACUUUCAACACGGCUCGAGUCGCUCGGCUGAUGUCUGGGGCUCGUGUCACCUUCUCUAAACUCUCGCCUCUAUUCCUUCGAUUUCUUUCGGAUAUUCCGGGACUCGAGCGUCUUCCUCUCACUCCAAAGGCGCAAUGAACGUCUUUUCCUAAAGCACACCUUGGUCAUGUUCUGUUACCUCUUCCUGAUGCUCUGCGAGGAAUUCUUCUUCUUCUACCUCCGUCGUGUCCGAUGACUUCGUCGUCUUUUCGAAGUCGUCUUCCACCUCCUCGACGUUGACGUUCACCAUCGGGUCUUCUUCCUACUGCUACAACCGUCUAACGUUCGUCUUCGAUUACUACGGUUUUUCUUCUACGACCAAGAACUCCUAUUCGAUGUUUUUUACGUGAGGGACCAGUCACUCUUUCUGCUACUUUAGGUUUUUGAGUUCUCACCCGUGGAAGUCCGAUCAGUUUUCGCCUUCUUCCUAUAGUCGCCCUGUGUAUCUUCUAGAUCCAGACUUCCAGGUAGACAUGCCCCGUUCAGAUUUCCAUAAGGAGCCUCCGUUUACCGUCUUCUUCUAGUUGGACUCUGGUCAGUCUUCGCAGUCACACGGAGAAGCAAUAGUUCACCUGACCGCGAGGCCGCGACGAGGAGCUCCUACUGCGUGGACUUUGGGCGCAGUAGCAGCAGCAGCGGACGGGGGGUCGUCCAUGAGAAGGUGAGGUCAAAGUUCGACGACAAUCUGGAGGCGCUGCCGCCACAAAUCCACACACCUCAAUCGCUAGUCCAAAUUAGAAAUAGAAACGCGGUGUGCGAGUGACCUUCGCCGCUAACACAAAACAUUGGUUGUAGGAGCGGGAAUAAAACCUCCGGGAAAACAUUGUAUAAACGCCCGCGACGCGCUUGCCCUCUCGAGUGACUGGCCACAUACAUACAUACAUACACACACACAAAUAAUUGGUACACCACGGGACCCCGGACUUAGGCGCUCCACAAACUCUACACUGCGUUUGAGGGGAGUCAGUAUACACACACGAACACAGCCAACCACAUAUUUUACAACUCACCUUCACACUCUCCUGUAUUUACAAGUAUGACAACUACUAAUGUCCCAAACGAACUCAAACACAAACCCCUUAAACUUUGAC